CCCUCUUCACCGAAGUCAGACCCGCAUAUCUCUCCCGCCUUCUUUUGCUUCUUUACGCGGUUUUUUUUUCUUUCUUCAUAGAAAACAGCAGUGCUUGAUUCAACUUGCGCAAACGGCUCUCUUGGCCCAACAACUGCAUAGGCAGAAAAACGAGACGAUUAACCGAGGAAAAAGUGGCGCAAAGAGCGUGAGGAAGUGUUGUGGAAAACACGGGAUGGCAAGACCAAGCGUUUCUACCCUUCAUAGACCGGCGACGGCGGCCGCCAUCUGCGCGCGCUGGCGCGUGAAUAUCUCGGAGUCCACGGAGCGGCGGACCCGUUUCCUUGAAACAGUUCCAGAGGACGCUCGCCUACGCCGCAUCGCGGCCCACGCAAGAGGCGGUGUUUCUACAGAAAGCCCGCCUUCGUGAAUAGCUUCCGCCGUAAGCGUUUCCUGGUAAAGAUUACGGUUACAUACGCUGCAGUUGCCGGGAGGCGUGAGAAGCAGUCGGGGAUCUUUGAAUGCUAUCGCGUUCCACUCUUAAAGACGAAGCUUAAGCGUCCUCCAAAUUUUUGUUCUCGUUUUGCUCAUAGCAGUGGAAAGAAAUCCUAAAUAAUAAAUUUCU